GACGAACGCUGGCGGCGUGCUUAACACAUGCAAGUCGAACGGAAAGGCCCUGCUUUUGUGGGGUGCUCGAGUGGCGAACGGGUGAGUAACACGUGAGUAACCUGCCCUUGACUUUGGGAUAACUUCAGGAAACUGGGGCUAAUACCGGAUAGGAGCUCCUGCUGCAUGGUGGGGGUUGGAAGGUUUCGGCGGUUGGGGAUGGACUCGCGGCUUAUCAGCUUGUUGGUGGGGUAGUGGCUUACCAAGGCUUUGACGGGUAGCCGGCCUGAGAGGGUGACCGGCCAAUUUGGGACUAGAGACCGGCCCGAACCCGUAGGGGGGGAAGAGGGGGGGAAUUUUGCAAAAGGGGGGGAACCCUAAUGCGGAAACGCCGGGGGGGGGGGAAGGGCCUUGGGGUUGUAAACCGCUUUCGCCUGUAACGAGGGGGAGGGAACGGAAAGGGGUAAAAAAACACCGGCUAACAACGG
rnacentral:rRNA from 1 species